rnacentral:rRNA from 1 species
AUUGAACGCUGGCGGCAUGCCUUACACAUGCAAGUCGAACGCGAAAGCGGGGCAACCCGCAAGUAGAGUGGCGAACGGGUGAGUAAUACAUCGGAACGUGUCCAGUAGCGGGGGAUAACCUCUCGAAAGAGAGGCUAAUACCGCAUACGACCUACGGGUGAAAGAGGGGGAUCGCAGGACCUCUCACUAUUGGAGCGGCCGAUGUCGGAUUAGCUAGUUGGCGGGGUAAAAGCCCACCAAGGCGACGAUCCGUAGCUGGUCUGAGAGGACGACCAGCCACACUGGAACUGAGACACGGUCCAGACUCCUACGGGAGGCAGCAGUGGGGAAUUUUGGACAAUGGGCGCAAGCCUGAUCCAGCCAUGCCGCGUGAGUGAAGAAGGCCU